rnacentral:rRNA from 1 species
GAUGAACGCUGGCGGCAUGCCUAAUACAUGCAAGUCGAACGAGAGGAAGGAAAGCUUGCUUUCCUGAAUCUAGUGGCGAACGGGUGAGUAACACGUAGGUAACCUGCCCAUGUGCCCGGGAUAACUUCUGGAAACGGAUGCUAAAACCGGAUAGGUAGCAGACAAGCAUUUGACUGCUAUUAAAGUGGCCUUGGCCAUGAACAUGGAUGGACCUGCGGUGCAUUAGCUAGUUGGUGAGGUAACGGCCCACCAAGGCGACGAUGCAUAGCCGGCCUGAGAGGGCGGACGGCCACAUUGGGACUGAGACACGGCCCAAACUCCUACGGGAGGCAGCAGUAGGGAAUUUUCGUCAAUGGGGGGAACCCUGAACGAGCAAUGCCGCGUGAGUGAGGAAGGUCUUCGGAUCGUAAAGCUCUGUCGUAAGAGAAAAACGGCACUCAUAGGGAAUGAUGAGUGAGUGAUGGUAUCUUACCAGAAAGUCACGGCUAACUACGUGCCAGCCGCCGCUGUAAAAC